GGCAUUAUGAGCAGGCCGCGACAAGCUGCGGCGUAUAACGGAUUGCAAAUCCGUCAUUCCCCGGUUCGAAUCCGGGCGGCGCCU
rnacentral:tRNA from 1 species